rnacentral:tRNA from 1 species
UCCGAAUUGGUGUAGUGGCCAACAUUUGACGCUCUCAAUCCUUCAGUGAAUUGAAGCGCCGUCAAGCCCGGGGUUCGAUUCCCCGAUUCGGAG